GCCGCCGGUGCAUGGCCAAUACUCGGCCACCUUCCCCUCUUAGGAGGGUCUCAACCGCCACACAUAACCCUAGGCAACAUCACCAACAUGGCAGACAAGUACGGACCGCUCUUCACUAUCAAGCUUGGUGUGCAUCGAGCUCUUGUUGUAAGCAGUUGGGAGGUGGCUAAAGAGUGUCUCACCACUAAUGAUAAAGCUUUCGCCAUCCGGCCGAAAGCUUUAGGCCCGGAGAUUAUGGGGUACAAUGCCAUGUUCGGUUUCAUCCCUUACGGACCUUACUGGCGCCAGGUGCGAAAGCUAACCACGCUGCACAUCCUCUCCAACCACAAGUUGGAGUUGCUCAAGCACGCCAGAGAAUCAGAGGUGAAGAUGGCUACGAAACUUAUAUUUGAUAUGUGGGAGCAAAACAAAGGUGUAUCAAACAAGGUGCUGGUGGAAAUGAAGAGGUGGUUUGGAGACUUGACUUUAAAUGUCAUGUUCAGGAUGAUUGUCGGAAAGCGAUUCUCUGUCUCUAACUCGGCGCAAAAGAAUGAAGAGCACGAGAUCUUUCGAAAGGCUUUGAGGGAAUUUCUGAGAUUGGGUGGUGAAUUUGUAAUCUCAGAUGCAGUUCCAUAUCUGAGGUGGUUGGACUUGGGCGGUUAUGAGAAAGCCAUGAAGAAGACAGCUAAAGAACUCGAUGGUGCGCUUCAAAAAUGGUUGGAAGAGCAUAAGCAGAAAAGUACUAAUUCUUUGGAUGAUGUAGAUGGUGAGAAUGACUUCAUGGAUAUGAUGCUUACUGUCCUUGAUGAUGAUAGUAGAGAAGAGUUGCUGGUUCAAUUACUCCUGAUACAAUUAACAAAGCUACAUGCCUGGGUUUGUUUCUAGGAGGUACAGAUGCAACGACAGUGACAUUAACCUGGGCUCUUGCUUUAUUACUCAACAAUCCUAAAGUCCUGAAGAAAGCUCAACUUGAGCUAGAUCACCAUGUUGGUAAGGAAAGGCAAGUGAAUGACUCAGAUGUGAAGAACCUUAUCUAUCUACAAGACAUUAUCAAGGAAACCUUGCGGCUAGACCCUGCUGGGGCUCUCCCGGCACCACAUGAAUCCAGUGAAGACUGCACAGUACGUAACUAUUAUGUAACCGCAGGCACACGGCUUCUUAUCAACAUUUCGAAGAUUCAACGCGAUCCAAAUGUCUGGCUCGACCCUUGUCAAUUCCAACCAGAAAGGUUUCUUACGACUCACAAGAAUGUUGAUGUUAGAGGACAGAGUUUUGAACUAAUACCAUUUGGAAGUGGUAGACGAAUAUGUCCAGGAAUCUCCCUAGCACUUCAAGUUAUUCAUCUUACACUGGCUCAUUUGCAACAUGGGUUUGAGAUUACAGCUCCAUCUGAUGAACCAGUUGAUAUGGAUGAGAGUUCAGGAAUGACAAACAUGAAGACAACCUCGCUGGAGGUCCUUCUCACCCCACGCCUGCAUCCUAAACUUUAUGAUAAUGUUGACUAG